CUUAAAGCUGAAAUAAUUUGCAGCUGCUGGUCCUUUCACUCACACUGUAUGGGCAGGAACUCCUGCUACCAUAAACCCUCAGGAUUUUGGACACAGUAGCAGCACCACAGGCUGUCGCUGAUUAAAGAUGGGCUUGGCAACUGGAGCAACGGGACUUGAGGAGGCAAUUCCCUGCUGAGUCAGAAACCCAGAGCCAAAAACCUAGGAGGUCUCUUCCAGAGCCGCCCUGCUUGCAACCAGCUCCUGAUUCUCUCUUGUCUGGGUUCAGCCAGAGUGACGAAGACAUUAAUUUCCAUUUUUUGGUGUACAGCAAAGCAGACUAACCUUUGGUUAGAGCACAGCUCUCACAGUUAUUAACAAUGAAUAGCAAAUCCUC